UACGGGGGGGGCAAGCGUUGUUCGGAAUUACUGGGCGUAAAGGGCUCGUAGGCGGCCAACUAAGUCAGACGUGAAAUCCCUCGGCUUAACCGGGGAACUGCGUCUGAUACUGGAUGGCUUGAGUUUGGGAGAGGGAUGCAGAAUUCCAGGUGUAGCGGUGAAAUGCGUAGAUAUCGGGAGGAACACCAGUGGCGAAGGCGACUACCUGGCCUGUUCUUGACGCUGGGGCGCGAAAGCUAGGGGAGCAAACGGG
rnacentral:rRNA from 1 species